rnacentral:rRNA from 1 species
UACGUAGGGCGCAAGCGUUGUCCGGAAUUAUUGGGCGUAAAGAGCUCGUAGGCGGUUUGUCGCGUCUGCUGUGAAAACCCGAGGCUCAACCUCGGGCCUGCAGUGGGUACGGGCAGACUAGAGUGCGGUAGGGGUGACUGGAAUUCCUGGUGUAGCGGUGGAAUGCGCAGAUAUCAGGAGGAACACCGAUGGCGAAGGCAGGUCACUGGGCCGCAACUGACGCUGAGGAGCGAAAGCAUGGGGAGCGAACAGG